CAGAGUCUGUCAGCGGUGCCUCAGCAGACCUGCACUACAGUCCAGAAGGCACCUCCACCAGCACCAUCACAAUGGACUUCACCAGUCACUGGUUUGUAUUCACUGCAUCUGCUUUUGUGUUUUGACUGGUGGUCUGUCAUUGUGUCUGUACGACUCAUCUCUGACAGGACUGAUGCUGGGCCAAGCUGUGGACAUCCCAGUAGCAAAGGUAUCAGUGGACAGGAAGGCAGUUCUGCAGAACCAAGCUCAGGACAAGCUGAUCCAGGUUAGGCCUCUUGUAAAUGCAAAGAGUGAAGGUCAAGUUUACAGUCAAGUUUGUGAACUUGUGUGUCAACAGCUGAAGACACAAAUAGACAAAAUAGCACAUCUGGAGAGCCAACAGCAGACCAGGAUGACAACAGUGAGGAGACCAACCACACGCCCUCAACAAACAACAAUCCUCCACUCACACAGAGAUUAAAUUUCAGGGGAUCAGUGAUCGUGAACAGGUUCUGAGGCGAACAGCAAAGAGCGGAAAGAGAUGGCAAAGGCAGAGGCACUCAAUAUUAGGAGACCUGUUGUAAAAAUGACCUAUGAAGGCCACCGUGACUCAAGG